UACAGAGGGGGCAAGCGUUGUUCGGAAUUACUGGGCGUAAAGGGCGCGUAGGCGGCCUUCUAAGUCGAACGUGAAAUCCCCGGGCUCAACCCGGGAACUGCGUCCGAUACUGGAAGGCUUGAAUCCGGGAGAGGGAUGCGGAAUUCCAGGUGUAGCGGUGAAAUGCGUAGAUAUCUGGAGGAACACCCGUGGCGAAGGCGGCACUCUGGGACGGUACUGGACGGCUGAGACGCGAAAGCGUGGGGAAGCAAACAGGG
rnacentral:rRNA from 1 species